AGACAGAAAAAUUAAACAACUUGAACAUGCUUGAAAAAAUCUUGAACAAAAUUCCUGUACAGGGCAGAGGGUAUCAUGAAUACAAAUUAUCCAUUUUUUUUUCAUUCCACAAAAAGUAAAUUGUAACUGUCAUUUUGUAAGACACAAAGGACUCAGUCUACAACUUAAACUUACUCUUUUUAAAUAUAGAUUUAUUUUUAUUUUGUUUUGCAACAAAAGCACUGUGAGCCUUAAUGAGUUAUAAACAUAAACAGGCCAUAAACAAAAUCUCCGAGUAACUUGAAACACAUUGGAUUCUGAAGUUUCUUUAUAAAGAGUUUUGGCACAUAGAACAUUAAAAUUUCCAUUAAAAAUAUUGAGGCUCCUAAAUAUCUGAAUUUCUGACUUCUGUUUUCCUAAAAUCUUUAGAAAGAGCUCGAUACCACUGCUGACUUGAAAUAUUGGCCAUUAUUUUCCUUUCUUGAAAUACAUCUCAUUUAGGGAGACUCUCAAAGUAUCUACAGUGAGAUGAAGUUUACUUCACCACAAUUAUGGUCAUCAUAAAGAUUACCUUUAUAAAAACAAGCAUUAUUAAGCAACCUUCAACAUGCUUUGUAGUCACAAUAAGAUCAUUGUAAAUAUCUUUGUAAGAGUCAACCUGAGAUACUGUUAAAGUCAUGCUCUGGAUUUCUGUAGCAGCUUCUCAUUCAGUUAAUGUUCUGAUUUGGAUUUAAGCUUUGAUAAAGAAAAUUAAAGGUGAAAAAUGGUCUGUCUGGGGAUAAAAAAACUCCCAAAUAAACAAAACUGGGAAAAGAGUCCAUAACAAAACCAAUAUUCCUUGAAAAUUAUGGCUUGAUUUUAUAUUUGACAUGGAAGUCACUUGUAAGCACCUGCUAACACUACUGAAACAAAGCAAAGCAAAAUAACUCAAAAAAACAACUAAAAAGGGAAUGUCAACAAGUUCAGGCAUGCAAACUUGCUUAACUUUCUUGUUUAAAUUAUUUUCACCCUGCUGUUUCAAUGCAGAUACAUGUCUAGUUUCCCUCCAGGGGGAAAGUAUCUAUGUUCAUAUUUCAAAUAUCUGGCAAGAUCUUUGUAUAUUCUGAGUUUUAUCACCAGGAUAAAGACACAUUCUCUUUGCAGAGACAAAUUUUGAAAUAACCAAUACAUUAACGAUAUGUAAGAGACAAUGGAAAAAAAGCAAAAUUAAUUUAGAUUUCUGAUUACACCUUAAAGAAAAUGUCUGAGCUUAAUCUGGCAAUAAUGCCAGUAGAAAAGCUGAAAGUCACAUAUUUGGUGAAAACAAAACUGUUUAUUGCAGACACAUAUUAUAGAGGAGGGCAGUGGCUGCCAAGCAUAUAAAUUAGUUAAGAGUAAUCUAGAUGUAUUUCUGGAGGGAAUGAUUGAAGGCGUAGUAAGAAAGCUGAAAAUGGAUUUGGAUCAGCAACAACAUCAACAAAAAGAGGCCUGCUAUGUAGAUAACAUUUUUCAUGUUCUUAAAAUUUCUGAUAUUCUUAUCUUGGCACAGCAGGAGUACAUAGUACUUAAUUGAAUUCUGAAGACUUACCAAGAAGGUGUGUGCAAAGAAACAUGCACUGAAUUUCUGUUGAACUACUGAAACACAAUAGAGCAGUUGUAGUGAGUUUACAUGGCUGCAGGGGAGACUUUUGUGACAAACUGCUGUUUGGAAGUUUCCUCCGUGUCUGGCAGAGCCAGUGCCUGGUGCUCUGAAGAUGAAUGUGCUGCUGGUCAAGGCUGGGCCAAUUAGAAAUGGUGGUAACAUCUCUGUGAUAACAGAUUUAAGAUGAUGGAAAAAAAAAUCACAGAUAUAAUUGAGGCCAAAGGAGAGAGGAGUGAGAACAUGUGAGAAGGACAACUCUGCAGACAGCAAGAGGAACCAUUAAGUGUGCUGAGGCCCUGCUUCCCAGGAAAUGUCCAAACAUCACUUGCUGGUGACUGAUGGAGAGAAAAUAAUUUGCAGCCUUCUUAACACAGGAACAAUUUCAGCAGGAGCCCAUUGUGGUACCUGCCAGCAAGGUUUUCACCUUGCAAAACCAUGAAGCCACAGCAGACCUCCAGGUGCAAUAAACAUGACAAAUUCUUGGUGGUAGCUCUGGGUAAAAAGUCCUCAGUCUUCACAUGCAGAAAGCACUUGGAAAUGCAGUAGACAUGUGAGUCUUGGCUGUUAAUGCAAAGUAUGUGCAUAAAAUUUACAGAGUUUAAUCUUCUGUUGAGCUUGUGAGAUUCAGAGCACUGAAGGUUGCAGGGUAGAAGCCAAAGAUUUAAUUUGCACUUUCUAUUGAGCACCUAAAUGGAAUUCAGAUUGAUUUGUAGGAUUGAAUUGGAUUGAGUUCAAUAUUGUAAUUUGCAGCUACACCAGGAAAAACUCAGAAACUGUGGUGGUUCUCCAUGCAAGGAUCAUGGCUGUACAGGGCAGAUUGGUGACCAAGGACAAUAAAAUACACAGGGCAUGAACAAUGGGCACAAAAGACUCAAGCUGGGCUGGGAGCUUCCCUCUAGUGUCAGAAGCAUGUGCACAUGGGCCCAGACUGAGAAUUCUGGGUGAACACAGUCCUGGGUUUAGGAUUUUCACCUCUACCAAGUGGGGGCCAAGUGGAGCAAGCAUCCGCCCUUGAGCACCCUCUUUGUUCUGUGUUUCAACACUGAAAAAUGGAUAUGAGGAUUGCUCCCUAUCUGCUCUGAGGAGUUUGUCUACCUUUGUGGUUAUUUCCACAUCUGCAAAAUUAGGACAACCACUUCUAGACAUGAUUAAAAGCAGCCACUUUUCGUACAAGAUAUUAACAAGGCACAUAUUACUAUAAUUUUUGAGGUGCACUGUUGGUAUUUUUAAAGUAAUACGUUUCAGCCUUGAAUAAAUAGAGAAGAUAGUAGAUUAACACUUACCCUUCCAAAUAAAGAUGUAUAAAUAUUAAAGAAAUAAAAUAAUAAAUCUAUUUGAACAUACAAUAUCAAUGUUUUCUGUAUAUCUACCUAUAAAAGACAGAAUUGUGUUGAUUCUCAAGGCUGAUUUUCUUUGUAUUAAUCAAAGAAUUGUUGAGAUUGGAAAACACGUCUAAGAUCAUCAAGUCCAACCAGCAGCCCAGCACUGCCAUGUUUACCACUAAAAUGUAUCCCAAAGUGCCACAUCUGGAUGUUUGUUCAACACCUCCGCAUUUGGUGACUUCCCCUUUUUCCUGGGCAGCCUGCUCCAAUGCAGCCUGUCCCAAGAAAUUUCAGAGAGAAUAAUUUUUUUCCUAAUAUCUAAUUAGGGUUAGUUAAAAAAAAAAAUCACACAAACAAUCCGGGUAUUUUGGAGUUCCAUCUCCAAUCAGAAGUCUCAGGACAGCAUGAUGAAAAACAAAGGCAAAACCAAAAAUUAUCCCAUAGCACCAAAUUUUUUAUGCAUACUGUAAUAUAUAAUACUGGCCUAUUGAAAGUUAAGAAAAAGGCAGGGUGAUAUCUUAAUGUAUAUUCUGUCUAGUUACUUCUCUGCCUCCACUUCUGGAGGCCUGUGAAACAUUAUCUUUUGACCUCUACACCAAGAUGGUCUUUUUUGUCAUUAAAUACAAUUUAAUCCAAAACUUUUACAGCUUUAAAACAUAAUAUCAUGUGUCUUCUCUCAGAUAAUCCAUAGGAAGUGAAGGAUUUGUUGCUUUUUGCAGCUACAUUUUAAAAGGAAGUGGGUAUUGGCUAGGAAAAUGUAUCAUAAAAUUACCCACUCUCACCAAUAAACUGCUAAAAAAAAAAAAAAAGCUGGUUUACAGAUUAAGAAGAUCACAAUGUGAGCACACAAUUUAAAGCUAAUGGUUUUAUAGGCCAGAGCCACGAGCAGGGCAUCCUUAUCCUGCAGUGUGAAUAGGAUUAUCCCUGCAAACAUUCCCCUAACAUAGAAUUAAGCUGUCAAGUUUACUUUGCUGCUGCAUGGAGGUAUGCACAAAAUGAACACAAGUUCAGGUCAAGUGUAAUACUGCUCAACUAUCACAGAUUGCUCAUGGGGCAAGGAAAAAUAGGAGGAGAAAAAAGUCAAGAGCUGAAUUGCUGCUGCUAAGCAUAUUUUAGGACAUUAACAUAAUUAGUCUCCAACAGAAUUACUGGAUCAUGCUGAAAAGACGGUGACAACCAUUUAAAUGAAACUUUCUUUAAAAUAUGUAUAUAUUGGACUUUAAACUGCUCAAAUAUCCUUGAUUUUAAAUCCUUCUAAUUUUAUUCACAGAAUUACCAUCACACAAACAUGUUUGCUUCCUUAAUUAUAGAAAACUAUUAAUGUUAGUCUAAAAAUACACAAAAUUACAACUGUAAGCAGUUCAAUAUUCAUGAAUUCUCUAUUACACUCCCACAAAAACAGUCAUAAAGUAGGUUAUGUAUUUUUUUCCACACAGUUUGCAGACAUCAGCGGCCUAAAGAUAUUUCCAUACCCCCACACACAUCUGCAAAUCUGUCUAACUUUGUCUAUCAGUGUUUGCUUGUUAGACUGGAAAAUGAAAAGGAACUAUGUUGAAAUUGUUACAGAGGUAGAAGCAAUUGCAUAUAAUAAUGUCUGUAAAAUCUCAAGCAGCAUAGAGACUCACCAAGCAUGAGUAGGUUAUUCUCCUUUCCCAUACAAGUAAGGCACUGAAUCAAACCAUCAGGAAAUACCAAGAAAGUUCAUGUGAUCCAUAACAAAACUAGAGAGAAAUUUGUCUUUCCCAUGCCAAAACAUCAGUCUCCCUUAAAACUUAUGUAAUCAUGUCUGUGGAAAAACAACAAAAUAUGAAGCUGAGGUUAUUGAACACAAAAAUCUGUCAAAAUCCCCCUGAGCAUUACAGGAGCGGACUGGAAGGGCACUGGGGAGAAAGCACCACGUAUGUUUUGCUCAAUUCCUGUGUUCUCUUACAAAGGUAGUGUUGAUUUGCCUACUCUCUGGGCAUUGGAAGAGAGUUAAACUAAGGUCAAUUAAUUUUGUGUUCUCUUUGAUGUGACAAGCCUAAGCAAACUGCAUAAUAUAUCAAAGAAAACGUUCCCUUUGCUAAAUUUUAGGAUUUCUAGAGGGAGGGGGGUUGUUAUUUUCCACAGCUAUUCUCUGAAUAUUUACAAAAUGAAAAUAAAAAUAGGAACAAUAUAAAUUGAAAAAUCCAGCCUAAGUGAUUGCCUGGGAAAAAUUAUAAAUUUGCAAUAUUUUCUUUUAUAAAAAAGACAAGAUAGUUCUAAUUAUAACCAAACAAAGUUUAGGACAUGAGCUUUUGUACACUGGUAAUAUGUGAACAAGGAAGAUCAUGUGAAUAACUUUAUGCUAGAGCAGAUCUUAUUUACGUAGAUAAAGGUUCCUGUCGAUGGAAAGUGAGAAAAGAAUGCCUUGAAAGAUUUUUAAAAGUUAAAUAUAAUUACCUGAGAACAAACUAAACUUAUCUAAUCAGCAGAUACUGCUCAAUGUUUUCAUGUUAUCCAUCAGAUGACAAAAACAAAUUGUAACACCAAAGAAUUUCUUCUUUAGAAUACAUACUUUCCUUACAAAAAUGUAUGAACAAGUGUUCUUUCCUAUUCAUCCCAUUUUCAAAUUUCUUGCAUUAUUUAUUUAAAUUAUUUUCCGUUUUGAAGACUUUUAUUACUACUUUUUAAAGAAAAAAACAUGUUCCAGAACAUCCUAUCUUUCAAAAGAAAAUAAAAAACAGUGAUGUUACGUGUUCAUAUUAUUGUUUUAAAAUACUGAAUGUUACUAUAAUAAUAAUUUGGGGAUUAUAUUGCAGCUUAUAUUUUACAGGUACCUUGAUAUCAAAGCAUGUGACUAACAGCUAAGUAUAAAUUGAAUAAAUACAGCAAAAGAGCAUCAGUAAAUAAAAGAUGUGAAAUGGAUCCAAGUAACUUCCCACUAUAUGAAGAAAGUACCUCUUCAUAUAUUAAGUUAUAAUAUCAGAAUAUGUUAGACUAAGCCAAUUAUUUAGGGCAACCUGAAGUUUCAGUUUCAUUUUUAAUGCCCAAGUCAAAUGACUUCUAUUUUUAAUCUGCUAUAAGCUUAAAUCUGCAAGACUGAAGAAAAGCAAUAGACUUUUGAACUUCUGGAAGUUGUCUGUGAAGUCAUAGCAGGAAAAUUACCAGUUAAUAUUAUAAAUGUAUAUAAGACAUUGAAGCUAGUCUAGACCUUUGGAGAUUCUCAUAGUAAGAAUUUCUGUCAGUAUGAGAGAAAAAGAUAUGAGGUAUUCGCUGAAUUGCCAAGGCUUCUCAAAACGUUUCUGAGCCUUUCAGCAAGGCAAAUUUGAUAUAAAUUGUGGCACACUGAUGAGAAAUAGGAGCCCCUUCACCUUCUCAUCCUUUCCUCAAAUGGAGCAGCCCUGUUCAAUGUAAUAAUUUCUGUUGAUGGAUAUACUGCUACUCUGACUGCAACUCAUGGCCACAGCUGAGGAACAUCCUGCUAAAACCAGGUGGAGCUUUCCAGUAGGUCUGUGCAAACAGCAGGUGGGUUUCUUUGUUAAAUGUACUAUCUUCCUCCAACAUAAAUUAUCAGUAACAAUAUCCUAAUGCCAAAGCAAGUGAAUUUUUCUACUGAUUUGUAUUUGAAUUGACAGCUUGUACAAUAUUGACUUCCACUUACUACACACCUCCAGCUGAGUUAGUGAAAUGGUGAAGGUCUCAGUAGUUGAAUCUUUCCACUGUUGUAGUCUCAGAACGCGCAAUUCCAUUUAAUAAACUUGUCAGAACUACCCAACAAUAAUAUCUAUCUUUAAUAAUCAAUUUUUGGCUCCUUAUUUCCCGCAAUACCCCCACACACUGCAGUUUGCCUGAAGCAGAUAUAUAUAACAAGGAAAGGACAAAUCAGUAGAAUCUAUAUGACCUACCUCCAUAUUCUCAUGCUUGAUACAUGCUGAUCACACACCUACACUCAAAUGCAUCACCUCUGAAGCAGUAGAGUACCUAAAAAGCACAUCACCUAUCACCUUUGCUUCAGUAUUUUAUCCUAAGACCAUAGAUAUUCCUGCUAAAUUAUCAUCUUCACUAAACUGUGAUUUUCAGUUGCACUCUGGGCAUGCUGACACUGGCUAUACACUUCCCUGUCAAAGGCUCUGCAAUUUAGCAAACAAGUUAUAUUCACUUCUUUUGCAUCUGAUCUUCCUGAAACUAUUACUACUGGUCAAGUCCAGAGAGGAUUUCUAGAAAAGUCAGAGCUACUGAUUAUGGCUUACAUCUAAAAUCAAACUGGUCAAGGGUGUAAGAAUGUUCAAUUUUUUUCAGCAAAAAUGUCAUAGCUUGAUAAUAUAUUUAAAGAUUAAUACAAUCAUUUCACAGAUUUCAUAGAGAUUAAUUUCUUAAGUAUUUUACUUUUUUUUUUAUAAUUCAUUACUUGUGUGUUAGCAAAUCACAGCAAUAGAAAGGAUGAGAAAAAUGUCUCAAGAAAAGCACAUUGGUCAUGGAUACACGUGCAUCAUUGCUCAUUUGGCACCUUGUAUUACAGUUAAAGGUAACUCUCAUUUAGAUUUAGCUCAUAACUUACCUAGGGUAGCUCAUAAAGUUUGAGCUUUUAACCACCUUGAGAUGCACCUAUUAAUAAAGGAAUCCUUGAAAGAUGAAAUUACUGGUUUUUAGUGCAAAGCAUAGGUUUCUCUCUAGUUCCUAUGAGAUUAUUUAAUCUCACAUUCAAUACAGUGAAGUAUGUAUUUUCACUUUGAUAAAUUCAGUCAAGAACCAUCAUUUAGAGGUCAGUGUGAUACGUACAUGUGUUUCUCAUCCUGCCCCAAGCUUCCCACAAAAUAUGAAACUUUGGUCGAUAUGGACACCUAUGCCUACAAACAGUUCCUCACUGCCAAAACAAAUUAUCAUAUCCAAAUAUUUUCCAUUAUAUUUUUACUAUAUUAUAUAACAGUAUUAGUAAAUCAAAAUUUUCAGUGAAAACACUUUCCUUUAUGAAAACCUAUUUUCUGUUUAAAUAAAAGAUUGUGGACAGCACAGAUAAAGAGUGUUUACACUCAAAGGAAUGGAUAUGGCAUUCCAGGAAUACUAAA